AUUCAAAUAUCUUAUGAAGAGUGUAACAUUGAAGUUGUUAAGGAGAUAUAAAUUGUCUUUGAAUA
rnacentral:tRNA from 1 species